rnacentral:rRNA from 1 species
AGCGAACGCUGGCGGCAGGCUUAACACAUGCAAGUCGAGCGCCCCGCAAGGGGAGCGGCAGACGGGAGAGUAACACGUGGGAACGUACCUUUCAGUACGGAACAACCAAGGGAAACCUUGGCUAAUACCGUAUACGCCCGUAAGGGGAAAGAUUUAUCGCUGAAAGAUCGGCCCGCGUCUGAUUAGCUUGUUGGUGAGGUAAUGGCUCACCAAGGCGACGAUCAGUAGCUGGUCUGAGAGGAUGAUCAGCCUCACUGGGACUGAGACACGGCCCAGACUCCUACGGGAGGCAGCAGUGGGGAAUAUUGGACAAUGGGCGAAAGCCUGAUCCAGCCAUGCCGCGUGAGUGAUGAAGGCCUUAGGGUUGUAAAGCUCUUUCGUUGGGGAAGAUAAUGACGGUACCCAAAGAAGAAGCCACGGCUAACUACGUGCCAGCAGCCGCCGUAAAAC